CAUAUACUUCAUCGCAUCCUGGUUUACUCCGCUACUGUGUGUGUACCCCACCUCCUGCUCGAUGACAGCUGGGAUUGGCUCCAGAACUCCUGUCACCCUCCUGAGGAUAUGCAGUUCAGAAAAUGUAUGGAAGUGCUGCGCAUCUUUAAAUUAAUAUGAUGACUAUCAUGGAAGACGGGGUUUCAUCCAAUUUUGUGGCUGUGACCCCAAAAAAUAAAUAUCUGUGUUCCAAAGUUCUUUUCAAAGCAACGUCAACACAGUCAUCAUGGAAAUGAACUGUGAUGCUAGAUAUUUGAGAAAAGCAACAGAGAGUCAGCAGCUGGUUUGCUCACUGCCAGUGCUUCAUCUUUCUGUCAUGGAGCACAUGGAGCACAUGGAGAUGAAGUAAUUUAAUUAGAAGCGGGCUGCCAUUAUCAACGGAUGAGUGCAAUGGCUCAGGACAUCAAACAACUUUACAAGAUGACACUCAAGACCAAAAAACCCCAUAAUAAUUCAAGGAAGAUGGAUGGGGAUAAUUGUUGAGAAGUGACAGCACAGUUGGAGUACAGUGAUUUCAUUAAUUUUUUUAUUUUUAGGGAGGGGGGGAUGAAGGAUGGAGGAGAAAAAAAAAUAAUAAUUUGAAUUUCAGGGAGAAAAUGGUAAGUGAGAUUGAGAAUGUAACUUUAGAAAAAGGAA